rnacentral:lncRNA from 1 species
UUCGCCCUGUUUACCAUUUUAAAACUAUUGGCGAGGUUACUGGAAUGACGGUUGCUUGGCCACAAUAUUUGGUAAUAAUCUUGUUUAUAUGAUCUUAUCAAUAAUAUUAUAUUUUAAGAGUGUUUUGAUUUCAGCUUAAUUGGUAUUUAUGAUCAUUUUAAUAGGUAAUUAUGGAUGCAUAAAAAAUUUUGAAGACGUCGUAUUUUUGGAUACUUUUGGAGAUUAGAUUUUCUUAAUUUUUUUUUGGUGUUGGAUUACUUGUUAUUCAGACAUUACAAAAUGAAUGAUUUUAGAUUGUGAAACUUCUCUUUUCUAUUAUAUUGUAGGCUAAGGAUUUAUUCUGUUUGUUGAUGGAGAUUGAAUAUGGUUUUUUUGUAUUUGAGUUCAAACACAGU